rnacentral:tRNA from 1 species
GGGGUUGUAGCUCAACGGUAUAGCACUUGCUUGGCAUGUGUGAGGUCCUGGGUUCGAAUCUCAGCAGCACAU